UACGGAGGGAGCUAGCGUUAUUCGGAAUUACUGGGCGUAAAGCGUCCGUAGGCGGCUUUGCAAGUUAGAGGUGAAAGCCUGGAGCUCAACUCCAGAACUGCCUUUAAAACUGCAUCGCUUGAAUCCAGGAGAGGUGAGUGGAAUUCCGAGUGUAGAGGUGAAAUUCGUAGAUAUUCGGAAGAACACCAGUGGCGAAGGCGGCUCACUGGACUGGUAUUGACGCUGAGGUACGAAAGCGUGGGGAUCAAACAGG
rnacentral:rRNA from 1 species